GGUGUAACUUAGUGGUAGAGAACAUGAGUAGCAUUCAUGAGGCUCUGAGUUCAAUUCCCAGUACC
rnacentral:tRNA from 1 species